rnacentral:rRNA from 1 species
AUUGAACGCUGGCGGUAGGCCUAACACAUGCAAGUCGAACGGUAGCACAGGGAGCUUGCUCCGCUGACGAGUGGCGAACGGGUGAGUAAUGCGUCGGAACGUGCCGAGUAGUGGGGGAUAACGCAGCGAAAGUUGUGCUAAUACCGCAUACGUACUGAGGUAGAAAGUGGGGGACCUUCGGGCCUCACGCUAUUCGAGCGGCCGACGUCUGAUCAGCUGGUAGGGGAGGUAAAGGCUCACCUAGGCGACGAUCAGUAGCGGGUCUGAGAGGAUGAUCCGCCACACUGGGACUGAGACACGGCCCAGACUCCUACGGGAGGCAGCAGUGGGGAAUUUUGGACAAUGGGCGAAAGCCUGAUCCAGCCAUGCCGCGUGUCUGAAGAAGGCCUUCGGGUUGUAAAGGACUUUUGUCGGGGAGGAAAUCCCAGCGUUAAUACCGCUGGGGGAUGACAGUACCUGAAGAAUAAGCACCGGCUAACUACGUGCCAGCCGCCGCCGUAAGAC